rnacentral:lncRNA from 1 species
UCUUGAUCAUCUUCGAAAUGAUUUCCCACACACAAUGUUGAACAGUCUGUUACCUAUGUCUCCUGCCUUAAAAUCAAACAUUUUCGGGCAUGAAGGCAAAACAUCCCUUGCUAGUCACAUGCAGUUCUGUUAAUAUACUUUUUGAGUUUACACCAUUCUAUUUUUGUUUUUGCUGAAGACCACAUAUGAUCUCCAUCACAAUCUUCUUAAUGUUUGUCAUAUGCCUUCUAAAUUUCACAAAGAUCUUAACUUUCUCAUAUACUAGUUUAAUGUCAAAUUAUUGAUGCUGUAGUUCCAGGAUGCUGAUCUCUAAUGCUGAUGUUGAGGUCACUUUUUUAAGGUUUGAAUCUUGACACUUCCUAUCUGUUGCCCCUUUCUUUGCUCCUGUUUAUUUUGGUCAUGCAGCUCAAAAGUGACACGACAUAAUUUUACUUGAAUUUUCUUCCUUUUUGAUGUUGGAUUUUUUAAGUGAGUUAUUUGAGUUUCUGAAGUUGUUCUUUAUCGAUCCAAUGCCAUAUGGCAACGAACAACUUUUUUCUAAUAUAUUAGAUAUUAGUUCUCAGAUAUCUGAAUUAUUCAGAUGGUUAUUGAGCAUAUUAGCUUCAAAACUAAGUACGUAAUAGCCCUGGGAAUCUAAAAUUUUCACAAAUUGUCCCAUGAAUAAACUUCUUUUAUUUCAUACCAAACGUGGAUCCUAUACAAUAGUUUCUCAAAGAAACCUAAAGUUAUGCUGGGGUGUUCAGCUUGCAGUUGGCAAAAUCUUUGUGUGGAAAUUAGCAAAGAGUUUCCCAGCACUUGUAAUGUGGCAUGAAGCUGGGUCGAUACCUCAUUUGGCAGGAAAAAAAUUGUGAAAUAGAUUCUGUACAUGGGGUCGGAUUGGUUGUUGGAGAUACAUAUUGAUUUAACUGGACUUGUAAUUUUCAGUUUUUUGCAAUCGUAUGAUUUACUAAUGAUGCAAGUUUAUCAGGCCUACUCCUUUUCCAAUGGUCAAUAGAGUUCACUACAUUUCUUCUAAGCUGAAGGUUAGUGGUGAAAAUACAUUGAUGAUUUACAUUGCACCAAUGAUUUUUUUCCUAACUGUGAUUAUGGGAAUGACAGUUGCUGAGUGGUGUCCGAAAUUUACUCAUCUUUAGGUAUGAUUUUUCUGAGUUCUAUAUUGCAACUCCUUAAGCGGGUUUGUCUAUUUGAGAAAUUUUCAGAUUCUUUAGAUUUAAAAGAAAGAAAAUCCUGAGAAAAGUGAACGAGGACUCAAAGGAACCAUAAAAAAUAAUAUAGAAGAAAAGAGUGAAAUUAUUUGCAGCAGUUCUCCAGUCAUCAGCUAUUUCUUACUGAAAAGUUGCAACUUCACCUAGGGUGGCUUUCAUUGCACUUCAGAGGUCAUACCUCUUCAAUUGUUCUCUUGUCUAAGUUCCAAUUCUAUUAAAUGCCCGAAAAAACCCUUGAGACAUUCUCUAUUAAGAAAAAACAACACAAAAAGCUGAGGCCAAUUAACAAAAAACCCAAAAUGCCAAUACAAAGGAAUGCACAUGUGGUUACCCUAGGCUUAUGCAAUGAGGUGUGCUCCUUAGGAAGUAGAGAUGAAAGCUCGAAGUGUAAGCUUAAAGACUCUUAAUAAAAGCCUCAUGUGGUGAGACCUGCCCAUUGUAUUCCUCGGCUCUUCUCUAUUUCUACUCAAAUAUUAAACUUGAUAUCCACUCAAAUGUGAUACACAUGAGUGCUUCCCUGUGUAUGCAUCUUCUGAUGUGUGGGUGUUUAUUCCACUAUUUCUCUUUCUGUAAGUCUGUCUGAUCGUGGCAGUAUGCACUUGGACUAAUUGUUGUGUACAGAUUUGAAUUUGACUGUCAAUUUUUGGAUGUCCAGGUUCAUGACGUUUUUCUAAUUUUUGGAUGUCAAUUUCCUUGCAGACUCAAGGUAACAUUUCAAAGUGGAAGAAGAAAGGGAGAUAAGGUCCGUCACAUUAAGUAGUUAUUUUCUGAACAAGGAUAGGAUGGCUUUUUAUUUAUAUAUAUGAUGCCAAUUAAAAAUAACUGCGAAGAGUAUUUGUUGACUUGGAACAAAGACAUCCGAGUUUUGAUGAUUUCUGACUGUGAUUUUAUUUGUCUUGACUUUUAAUGGAUCUAAUAGAUAGAAGUGGGGGAUGUGAUAUGUGAAAUAGAGACGGACAAAGCUACCCUUGAGUUUGAAUGUCUUGAAGAAGGGUAAAUUCUAAUUUUUAGUCUGCUUUAAUAGGGGCUCAGCUGCAGUUUCCAUGAUUAAAUUGCACUGAUCAUUAGAUUAAGAUACAACCAAGUUCACCGUGUUUAUAAUUUUCUUGCCUCGAAAAAUGGAAACAUUUCCUCGAGUAAGUAUUACGUUGCUUAGCACUUAAAAAUAUAUCACGUUAAAAGAAUGAAGGUUCAUCUUCUGUUCUUUAUGCUAUUAUUUUAGUACAUUCUUGUGCCUCAUAUCAUCGUUCAAUGUAGAAAUUUAGUUUCUAGUCUCACUAUUUACGUAACUUUAUCGAGAUGAUCAAGUCAAAUGCACAUUUUAAAUUAUUGUGAUUUUUACAUGUAGCCUCCGUUUGGUAGCCAUUAAUUGCCAAAAUGCAUUUUUCUAUCAAAUCAAUGAAGGGUCAAUCCCAUAUUUUAUUCUCUAAUUCAAAUUCAAAAUGGUAGAAUUUUCAUUUGUCCUUGUUUGUCUUUACCUUAAAUUUUUUCCACACACGCACCAAUUCCUUCAAUGUGAGAAAGAUGAGGAUAAGAAAUAUUUUUUUAUUGCCAACACUCCAAAAAUAAGUAAACACCUACAUACCACUAAUUGCUAAAACAAGGUAUAUUUCCACAACACCAUAAAUUUGACACGUUACCCUAUUUAUUUUCCCAACUUCCUCACAGUUUUCUCUUUACUUGGUCUUGGUUUUUUUUUUUUUUUUUGUUAUUAGUAUUUUUCUUUAGCACGCAAAUAUCUGGAUUACAAUAGCACCGGGUGAAUCUAGCAAAUACCAUUUAUUCAUAAGGGUCUGUUUGAGCCAUAUUUGUUGUCUCAUUUUAAUAGAAAAAUUGACCGUUAUCUCCAAUCACCUAUUGACAACCAACUUACAAAUUUAUUGUACUUGUAUGACAUUUUGCUCUCCACUUUCCCCAUUUGCCCCUCUGCUGUGUCUCAGAAUAAAGGCAACUUUCACGUGAGUAUGUUUUGGCCCCAAAAACUUGAAAGACGAAAAACACUCCGGCGAUUUUCUUCCCUUUCAGACCCUCACAGUUCCACGAUCGUCAUUCUGUAGUGCACCAUCUUCAUCCAACACCGUGGGUGCGAGAAAUCACGUUCGUGCUUGCUGGCUAUACCGGGAAUACGCAUGACGCUCGAAUUCUAGCCCGUGCUAUAUAUAGUCGUGAACUAAAUUUUUCGCAGCUAGCACCCGACAAAUAUUAUUUGGUGAACUCCGAUUUUGCGCAUCGACCUGGAUAUGUGGCCCCAUACAAGGGUUCAGAUAUACUGUAUCACUUCCAACAGUUUCGCGAUGAACGAACAAGUCAACGCCAUAAGUUUUGGAAUGCGCGAGAGAGGUUCAACUUUAGACACUCUUCGUGCAGGAAUGUCAUCGAACGUGCAUUCGGUGUGUUGAAGCAGAGAUGAAAAAUCCUUGAUCAUAUGCCCAACUACUGUUUUUCGACACAAGUUGCAGUUGUCAUAGUCACAAUGGGCAUUCAUAACUUUCUACGUUGUGUCGGAGUUGUGGACGAGGCGUUCGCAAGAGCGGAAGUAGAUGUCGAGGUAGCAGAGGUGGAGCUGCCUAAAGCUGAGGAUGAAGUUCAGGUUGAAAUGAAUGCGCCAGAGAUGCAACGAAGCGAGUGGGACAGUUUUCGUGAUUACAUGGCACAAUAGCCAUGAUGGUCGCUCUUUGGGACAGAAUUUAUCUUUUAAUGUGUAGUGGCAUAAAUUGAAUUUGCAAGUUCGUUGGAUCAUCUUUGUCCCAUUCGAUGUAAUAUUAUUUACGUGUUUAGUUAUGUACGUAUGUGGAACGUUGAAUAAUUGCACAUUUUACGUUUGCAUCAUGUCCUCGGACCUUGGGUAACAGAACGCGCCGUGCUUAUUGAGCCCCAUUUUAUUUUGUAGUUCAAUAAUCUUCGUAUUGGAUGUUGUUGUUGU